rnacentral:rRNA from 1 species
UACGUAGGGUGCAAGCGUUGUCCGGAAUUAUUGGGCGUAAAGAGCUCGUAGGCGGUCUGUCGCGUCUGCUGUGAAAACUCGGGGCUUAACCCCGGGCCUGCAGUGGGUACGGGCAGACUAGAGUGCGGUAGGGGAGACUGGAAUUCCUGGUGUAGCGGUGAAAUGCGCAGAUAUCAGGAAGAACACCAGCGGCGAAGGCGGCUCACUGGUCCGGUACUGACGCUGAGGUGCGAAAGCGUGGGGAGCAAACAGG